UACGGAGGGGGCUAGCGUUGUUCAGAUUCAUUGGGCGUAAAGCGUGCGCAGGCGGCUUAUCAAGUCAGAUGUGAAAGCCCCGGGCUUAACCUGGGAAUGGCGUUUGAAACUGAUAGGCUAGAGUGUGUCAGAGGGAGGUAGAAUUCCACGUGUAGCAGUGAAAUGCGUAGAGAUGUGGAGGAAUACCGAUGGCGAAGGCAGCCUCCUGGGAUAACACUGACGCUCAGGCACGAAAGCGUGGGGAGCAAACAGG
rnacentral:rRNA from 1 species